rnacentral:rRNA from 1 species
UACGGAGGGAGCUAGCGUUGUUCGGAAUUACUGGGCGUAAAGCGCGCGUAGGCGGCUUUGUAAGUUAGAGGUGAAAGCCCGGGGCUCAACCCCGGAACUGCCUUUAAGACUGCAUCGCUUGAAUCCAGGAGAGGUGAGUGGAAUUCCGAGUGUAGAGGUGAAAUUCGUAGAUAUUAGGAAGAACACCGGUGGCGAAGGCGGCCCACUGGCUCGAUACUGACGCUGAGGUGGCGAAAAGCG